ensembl:snRNA U6 U6 spliceosomal RNA
GUGCUCAAUUUGGCAGCACAUAUAGUAGAAUUGGAAUGAGACAGAGAAGAUUAACAUGGUCCAUGUGCAAGGACGACAUGCAAAUAUGUGAAGUGUUCCAUGUUUUU